rnacentral:rRNA from 1 species
UACGUAGGGGGCGAGCGUUGUCCGGAUUUAUUGGGCGUAAAGAGCUCGUAGGCGGUUUGGUAAGUCGGGUGUGAAAUCUCCACGCUCAACGUGGAGGGGCCACUCGAUACUGCCAUGACUCGAGUCCGGUAGAGGAGUGUGGAAUUCCCGGUGUAGCGGUGAAAUGCGCAGAUAUCGGGAGGAACACCCGUAGCGAAGGCGGCACUCUGGGCCGGAACUGACACUCAACUACGAAAGCGUGGGGAGCAAACAGG